CCAUCUCCUGCCUGCAGGGGAUGGUGGAACAAUGGGCUCCUCCCUGAGCAGGGCUGAAAGGCAUUGCUUGAGAGCUGGGAAAAGAGGCUGGAACAUUUAAAAAGUGGGUAGAAUCAAAUGUGAGGCAGCUGCAUCAGCAGCAUUGCACUGGCAGCAGGUUAUGGUGUGCCUCCCUGUUUAUUUGAAAUGUCCUGCUGGACACCUGCGGCACUUUUUCCUCCUUGGCUCUUGAUAAAGUUCAAAAUAUGAACAUUAAGCCACAGGACAAACCAAACCAAGCUAAGAAGGCUGUGGCUAAGCGUUACUUUAAGGCAUUGUCUAAGAAGGCUUUUCCUUUCAUAGCUCUCAUGAGAGUUGUCUAAAAAUAAUCUUUGUUCCGAUUGGUGAAAUAGCUCCCACACUGGAAGGCUGGCUGGAUUCUCAUCCCCCUGGAGCUGUGCCAACGAUCACACUUCCUCUGGUGCCACUGCCAUUGCUGUGGGUGGUGUUAGUUAAGGUAUCAUCAAAGCUUGAUAGUUUACAAUUAAUUGCUAUGUACUAAUUAGUUAAUGGAUGGCAUCCUCUCAUUCAUUUGCUAAAAUUAUAGGACUCGUAUUUAUAAACUACCUUGCACUCAGAGCACAGCUUUGAACAAGAUGUGCAAUCCUUUUAGUCAAUAGGCACCUCUUAUAUUAAGCUGCAGCCAUCCCACUGACCGCAUUUGUGAAGCAGCGUAAAGCAGCAAAGGAGAUCCAACAAAACCAGAGGAAAUACAUCACAAACGAAACAGGAUGCACCUGGGAGAGGGUGUAAUGAAAGCAAAUGUGUGAUUUCAGCCGAUUGGGUACUUCUAAUUAGCCCUGAACGGUUCAUUUUCGUGGAUAAGUGUAUAUCCACAUAGUUAAAUGUGUAGUGCUUUGGUGGUGGUUCAUGAUGGGUGCCCUUUGCUUUUAUUGCCAGCAGAUGUCUCUCUUGAUUAUUGCACGGCACUGAAUGGAAAUCUGAUUUACUGCCCCUGGACAGCAGGGAAGUGCCUCAUUCCAGCCUUUCCCAGUGAACUGCAAUCCUGCUCUGUGCAGGUCAUAAAACUUUUGCUGGGUCUGAAAACCCUGUUGGUAAGGAAGAGUGGAGAUGCCUGCAUUGCGGUUUCAGGAUGUCUGGAAGCAGGCCAGCAUGAUAUUGUUUCUCAUGCCUCUUCAAGGAAAUGCAUAUUUUCACUAUGUCUCUCUCAACUGUCUCUUUUGUUCCUCUUACAAACACUGGAGUAAGUACAGAGAGCAAAUGAAAACAAGACCAAACAGCAAUUAUUUCUUUUAUACAAACAACUCUGUGUGAUGUGCUGUUGGACAACACCGGCUAAAAGGAUAGAGUGCAGCUCAAACUGAGGCUUGGAAGGAAUGGCUGAUAGUGCUCAGCUUCUGUGUGCAGAGAACAGGGACAUUGCCCCAGGUAACACUGCGGAUGAAGCUCAGUCUGAGGCUUGGAAGGAAUGGCUGAUAGUGCUCAGCUUCUGUGUGCAGAGAACAGGGACAUUUCCCCAGGUAACGCCGCAGAUGAGGCGCAGACGUGGCACUAAAU
rnacentral:lncRNA from 13 species